rnacentral:sRNA from 1 species
GCUGGGUGUGGUGGUGCCCACCUGUAAUCCUAGCAGCUUGGGAGGCUUGAGACAGGAGGAUUGUGAGUUCAAAGCCAGCCUCAGCAACAGUGAGGCAUUAAAGCAACUCAGUGAGACUCAGUCUCUA